rnacentral:rRNA from 1 species
UGGUCAGGUUGAGAAUACCAAGGCGCUUGAGAGAACUCGGGUGAAGGAACUAGGCAAAAUGGCACCGUAACUUCGGGAGAAGGUGCGCCGGUUUUGGUGAUGGGACUUGCUCCCUAAGCUGAGGCCGGUCGAAGAUACCAGGUGGCUGCGACUGUUUAUUAAAAACACAGCACUCUGCAAACACGAAAGUGGACGUAUAGGGUGUGACGCCUGCCCGGUGCUUGAAGGUUAAUUGAUGGGGUUAGCUCACGCGAAGCUCUUGAUCGAAGCCCAAGUAAACGGCGGCCGUAACUAUAACGGUCCUAAGGUAGCGAAAUUCCUUGUCGGGUAAGUUCCGACCUGCACGAAUGGCGUAACGAUGGCCACACUGUCUCCACCCGAGACUCAGUGAAAUUGAACUCGCUGUGAAGAUGCAGCGUACCCGCGGCUAGACGGAAAGACCCCGUGAACCUUUACUAUAGCUUCACACUGGACUUUGACCUUACUUGUGUAGGAUAGCUGGGAGGCUUUGAAACUUGGACGCCAGUUCAAGUGGAGCCGAUCUUGAAAUACCAGCCUGGUAACGUUGAAGUCCUAACUCAGGUCCCUGAUCGGGAUCGAGGACAGUGUGUGGUGGGUAGUUUGACUGGGGCGGUCUCCUCCCAAAGAGUAACGGAGGAGCACGAAGGUACCCUCAGCAUGGUCGGAAAUCAUGCAAUGAGCGCAAGAGUAAAAGGGUGCUUGACUGCGACACAGACACGUGGAGCAGGUACGAAAGUAGGUUCUAGUGAUCCGGUGGUUCUGUAUGGAAGGGCCAUCGCUCAACGGAUAAAAGGUACUCCGGGGAUAACAGGCUGAUACCGCCCAAGAGUUCACAUCGACGGCGGUGUUUGGCACCUCGAUGUCGGCUCAUCACAUCCUGGGGCUGAAGCCGGUCCCAAGGGUAUGGCUGUUCGCCAUUUAAAGUGGUACGCGAGCUGGGUUUAGAACGUCGUGAGACAGUUCGGUCCCUAUCUGCCGUGGGCGUUUGAGAUUUGAGAAGAGUUGCUCCUAGUACGAGAGGACCGGAGUGAACGAACCUCUGGUGUUCCGGUUGUCACGCCAGUGGCAUUGCCGGGUAGCUAUGUUCGGACGGGAUAACCGCUGAAAGCAUCUAAGCGGGAAGCCCCCUUCAAGAUGAGAUCUCACUGGACCUUUAAGGUCCCUAAAGAGCCGUUCAAGACUAGGACGUUGAUAGGCUGGGUGUGUAAGCGUUGUGAGGCGUUGAGCUAACCAGUACUAAUUGCUCGUGAGGCUUGACCAU